rnacentral:rRNA from 1 species
AUGGGUGGAAUGUCUUUCGAUGUGCCUCCUCGCACACAUUCCCAUGAAGAUGCCGUUGAAGAUCUUGCCAACACCGUCGGAGCUUCACGUGAUGCGGUGCGCGAUGAGGAGAGGGAGGAAGAUUCAUCUUCGGAGGCGGAAGAAUCGUCUUCCGAAGAUGAGGACGAGGACGAAGACGAAGACGAGGACGAGGAAUGA